rnacentral:rRNA from 1 species
AUGUGAUCGUCUCUCGCAUAUCAAUAAGCGGAGGAAAAGAAACUAACAAGGAUUCCCCUAGUAACGGCGAGUGAAGCGGGAAGAGCUCAAAUUUGAAAUCUUAAAGGGUUUCCCUUUACGAAUUGUAGUUUAAAGAAGUGUUUUCUGUUGAGGUUUUGGUAAAGGUUCUUUGGAAUAGGACAUCAUAGAGGGUGAGAAUCCCGUAUUUGACCUUUACUUUCAACUUUGUGAUACACUUUCAAAGAGUCGGAUUGUUUGGAAAUGCAGUCCAAAAUGGGUGGUAAAUUUCAUCUAAAGCUAAAUAUUGGCGAGAGACCGAUAGCGAACAAGUACCGUGAGGGAAAGAUGAAAAGAACUUUGAAAAGAGAGUUAAACAGUACGUGAAAUUGUCAAAAGGGAAGCGUUUGACACCAGUGUUGUUUUUCUGAAAAUCAAUUAAAGAACUGUUUAUGCUAAGUUGUUUAGACUUUAUCAGCUAAUCUGCUUAGUUUUGAGCUUUUCUUUAAUGCACUUUUCAGUUAACAAGUCAACAUCAAUUUCUUUUGCUGUAAAAAAGCUUGAGGAAGGUGGCUUGAGAUUCGUCUUAAGUGUUUAUAGCCUCUUGCCUAUGCAGUCGGAGAGAUUGAGGUCUGCAGCGUAGAUCCUUCGGGGCUAAAUGCAUCUUGUGCUAAGUUAUAGCAUUUUAUAGACAACUUGUUGACUAUGAUUUGUCUUGUAGCUUACUCGCUUAUGUUAUUUUACCUACGCUUAGGAUGUUGACGAGACUGUCGAUCUC